CUUCUCUUUCCAGUUCUUCCCAGAAUUGGGAAAAGCUGGGUUGACAGGGU
ensembl:miRNA